GACAGCAGCAGCCACGGUAAUACGGAGGAUGCAAGCGUUAUCCGGAAUUAUUGGGCGUAAAGGGUCCUGAGGUGGUUUGCCCAGUCUACUGUGAAAGAUCAGGGCUCAACCCUGAAAAUGCGGUGGAAACUAGCAGGCUAGAAUACGGUAGGGGCAGGGGGAAUUCCCGGUGUAGCGGUGAAAUGCAUAGAUAUCGGGAAGAACACCAAUGGCGAAAGCACCCUGCUGGGCCGAUAUUGACACUGACAGACGAAAGCUAGGGGAGCAAAUGGGAUUAGAUACCCGUGUAGUCCCUGUCUCUUAUAC
rnacentral:rRNA from 1 species